AGGAUGGCUCGGGCAUAACAAUGAUCCUAUCCAAAUGAAACCAGGUCACAGCAAAGUCUAAGCCCUGGCAAGAAAAACUCAGCAACGACACACAAGCUUCCUUCAUCUUCAAUUGUGUUCUUCGAGUUUCACCUUCGGAUUCACGUUCUCCGCGCGAUGCAAAGCUUCAGACCUCAAAUCGAGUUCAUCACACGCGGAAUCGUAGGUGACGAGCACAGCGACUAACACGGCGAAUUCCAAAUCCAAACGCGAAAACAAUAUCAACUUUCAAUCGUGUUGAAUCGAAUGCACGGAGUCGAAAUGAAAGCGGAAGGAAACGAUGAAUACUCACCGAGUCGAAAUAGGUGGAACUGAGUUUUGAAACUUUUACAGAUGGAUCUAUUGCGUUCUGUUAUGCAUUGCGUGAGUUGUCUGGACAUGUUACGAUUUAGCUUCUACAUUGUGAGCUAUAUGAGUAUUUGGAAAUUGCAUUGAACUGAUUUGUGCGAUGUGGACUGCAAUUGUGUAUGGGACUUUUAGCUGUGUAUUAAAUGUGUUGUAUUUUGGUUGUAAUUUGGAUUGAACUAUUGUAUGGCUUGAAAUGUGGUUUGAAAGUGUAAAUAGGAUGUUUAAUGGUUAAUGAAAUUGGAUUAUGUAAUGGAUGCUUUGGAUUAAUGGGAAUGGCUUUGAAUGGUUUAUGUAUGGUUGUAUGAAAUAUUGUAAUUAAUGAAACAUUGUAUUUUUUUGAA